UACGGAGGGUGCAAGCGUUAAUCGGAAUUACUGGGCGUAAAGCGUGCGUAGGCGGUUCGUUAAGUCUGUUGUGAAAGCCCCGGGCUCAACCUGGGAAUGGCAAUGGAUACUGGCGAGCUAGAGUGUGUCAGAGGAUGGUGGAAUUCCCGGUGUAGCGGUGAAAUGCGUAGAGAUCGGGAGGAACAUCAGUGGCGAAGGCGGCCAUCUGGGACAACACUGACGCUGAGCACGAAAGCGUGGGGAGCAAACAGGG
rnacentral:rRNA from 1 species